rnacentral:rRNA from 1 species
UACAGAGGUCCCAAGCGUUGUUCGGAAUUACUGGGCGUAAAGGGUGCGCAGGCGGUCUCGUAAGCUGGGUGUGAAAGCCCCGGGCUUAACCUGGGAAUGGCAUUCAGGACUGCGAGGCUUUGAGUGCGGCAGAGGGAGGUGGAAUUCCACGUGUAGCAGUGAAAUGCGUAGAGAUGUGGAGGAACACCGAUGGCGAAGGCAGCCUCCUGGGCCAGCACUGGACGCUCAUGCACGAAAGCGUGGGGAGCAAACAGGA